rnacentral:rRNA from 1 species
UGGGGAAUCUUAGACAAUGGGGGAAACCCUGAUCUAGCCAUGCCGCGUGAGCGAUGAAGGCCUUAGGGUUGUAAAGCUCUUUCAGCUGGGAAGAUAAUGACGGUACCAGCAGAAGAAGCCCCGGCUAACUCCGUGCCAGCAGCCGCGGUAAUACGGAGGGGGCUAGCGUUGUUCGGAAUUACUGGGCGUAAAGCGCACGUAGGCGGAUUAGUCAGUCAGAGGUGAAAUCCCAGGGCUCAACCCUGGAACUGCCUUUGAUACUGCUAGUCUUGAGGUCGAGAGAGGUGAGUGGAAUUCCGAGUGUAGAGGUGAAAUUCGUAGAUAUUCGGAGGAACACCAGUGGCGAAGGCGGCUCACUGGCUCGAUACUGACGCUGAGGUGCGAAAGCGUGGGGAGCAAACAGGAUUAGAUACCCCUGGUAGUCCACGCCGUAAACGAUGAAUGCCAGUCGUCGGGUUGCAUGCAAUUCGGUGACACACCUAACGGAUUAAGCUUCCGCCUGGGGAGUACGGUCGCAAGAUAAACUCAAAUGAAUUGACGGGGUCAUAGCUGUUUCCUG